AACGAACGCUGGCGGCGUGGAUUAGGCAUGCAAGUCGUGCGUGAAAGUGGUAGCAAUACUGCGAGUAAAGCGGCGAACUGGUGAGUACAAGGUGAAUUACGUGCCCUUGAGUGGGGGAUAACCCGCCGAAAGGCGGGCUAAUACCGCACGGUUUCCGAAAGGAAUAAAGCAGCAAUGCGCUCGAGGAUCGGUUCACCUCCCAUUAGCUAGUUGGUGGGGUAAUGGCCCACCAAGGCUACGAUGGGUAGCUGGUCUGAGAGGAUGGUCAGCCACACUGGAACUGAGAUACGGUCCAGACUCCUACGGGGGGCAGCAGUCUAGAGGCUUCGUCAAUGCCCCGAAAGGGUGAACGAGCGACGCCGCGUGCGGGAUGAAGGCUUUCGGGUCGUAAACCGCUUUUGUUUGGGAAGAAUGCCUGUGUCGUGAACAUGGGAGGGACGGUACCAGACGAAUAAGCCUCGGCUAACUCCGUGCCAGCAGCCGCGGUAAU
rnacentral:rRNA from 1 species